rnacentral:rRNA from 1 species
GAUCAUGGCUCAGAUUGAACGCUGGCGGCAGGCCUAACACAUGCAAGUCGAACGGUAACAGGAAGAAGCUUGCUUCUUUGCUGACGAGUGGCGGACGGGUGAGUAAUGUCUGGGAAACUGCCUGAUGGAGGGGGAUAACUACUGGAAACGGUAGCUAAUACCGCAUAACGUCGCAAGACCAAAGAGGGGGACCUUCGGGCCUCUUGCCAUCGGAUGUGCCCAGAUGGGAUUAGCUAGUAGGUGGGGUAACGGCUCACCUAGGCGACGAUCCCUAGCUGGUCUGAGAGGAUGACCAGCCACACUGGAACUGAGACACGGUCCAGACUCCUACGGGAGGCAGCAGUGGGGAAUAUUGCACAAUGGGCGCAAGCCUGAUGCAGCCAUGCCGCGUGUAUGAAGAAGGCCUUCGGGUUGUAAAGUACUUUCAGCGGGGAGGAAGGGAGUAAAGUUAAUACCUUUGCUCAUUGACGUUACCCGCAGAAGAAGCACCGGCUAACUCCGUGCCAGCAGCCGCGGUAAUACGGAGGGUGCAAGCGUUAAUCGGAAUUACUGGGCGUAAAGCGCACGCAGGCGGUUUGUUGAGUCAGAUGUGAAAUCCCCGGGCUCAACCUGGGAACUGCAUCUGAUACUGGCAAGCUUGAGUCUCGUAGAGGGGGGUAGAAUUCCAGGUGUAGCGGCGAAAUGCGUAGAGAUCUGGAGGAAUACCGGUGGCGAAGGCGGCCCCCUGGACGAAGACUGACGCUCAGGUGCGAAAGCGCGGGGAGCAAACAGGAUUAGAUACCCUGGUAGUCCACGCCGUAAACGAUGUCGACUUGGAGGUUGUGCCCUUGAGGCGUGGCUUCCGGAGCUAACGCGUUAAGUCGACCGCCUGGGGAGUACGGCCGCAAGGUUAAAACUCAAAUGAAUUGACGGGGGCCCGCACAAGCGGUGGAGCAUGUGGUUUAAUUCGAUGCAACGCGAAGAACCUUACCUGGUCUUGACAUCCACAGAACUUUCCAGAGAUGGAUUGGUGCCUUCGGGAACUGUGAGACAGGUGCUGCAUGGCUGUCGUCAGCUCGUGUUGUGAAAUGUUGGGUUAAGUCCCGCAACGAGCGCAACCCUUAUCUUUUGUUGCCAGCGGUCCGGCCGGGAACUCAAAGGAGACUGCCAGUGAUAAACUGGAGGAAGGUGGGGAUGACGUCAAGUCAUCAUGGCCCUUACGACCAGGGCUACACACGUGCUACAAUGGCGCAUACAAAGAGAAGCGACCUCGCGAGAGCAAGCGGACCUCAUAAAGUGCGUCGUAGUCCGGAUUGGAGUCUGCAACUCGACUCCAUGAAGUCGGAAUCGCUAGUAAUCGUGGAUCAGAAUGCCACGGUGAAUACGUUCCCGGGCCUUGUACACACCGCCCGUCACACCAUGGGAGUGGGUUGCAAAAGAAGUAGGUAGCUUAACCUUCGGGAGGGCGCUUACCACUUUGUGAUUCAUGACUGGGGUGAAGUCGUAACAAGGUAACCGUAGGGGAACCUGCGGUUG